rnacentral:rRNA from 1 species
CGUCUUAAACGGAGCAACAAAUAGUGUACACAUGUCAGAGCACUGGUCACUCGGGCCCGUUCACGGGCCCCACCGGCCCGCGACCGAGGCGGUGACGGGGAUCACCUCAUGAUCAUUAAAGGUGUUCCAAAUGUAAAGUUUUGUCGACAGCGGGGGUGUUCGGUAUGUAACUAGAGAUGAAAUUUAUUCGAAUCAUCGUCACCUAAUAAGCAACGUAAUAACCUUCGCUACACAUCGUCCUCCUCCAGGCAGCGGAUGAAGCGGGUGCCGUCGGUGGCCGACGAGGGUCGCCUGCGACUACUGCUGCCGCUCAAGUGCACGCUGCCGACAGACCAACGGCCGCGGCCCGGGGCCAUGGACACGCCGGUGGGGCCGACACCGAAGUUCGAGGUGCUCCAUACGCGCGCGUCGAAGGGGUCCUGCGAGUUCAGGUAGCAGGUGAGGGUCGUGUCCGACUUUGUCGCGCUCUCGCGGCGGCGGCGGUGGCGCCUGGUGCCGUGGCCGCCGCCGUUGCAGUCCACGCUCCACACGCCCCUCCUGCACUUCCCGCGCACGAUGCCGACGUCGUGGCCACGCACGCGGAGGCGCUGUCAGCAGCACGUGGGCGAGACGCAGGCGGACGGCGGGCACCGCGCCCCAGGCCGGCACCGCGUGGGGACGCCGGUGCUGCGCACCGAGCAGUUCUUCAGCCUACCGCCGCACCGCAGGUACACGCGCCGCAGCUGCACCGCACCUCCAUGGCCACGCCCUGCACGGCCCACCUGCACGUGGGCGCCACGAAGCACGGCGGACGCCUGGUCACGGCGCCGCCGCUCCGCAGCCGGUAGAGGUACCCCUUCGCGACGACGGAACACAAACCCGUCCUGAACUGCUCGACGGAGUUGUAGUCGAUGAUGAUGGCACCACGACCCAUCAUGAUAUCAGUUUCUUUUUUGUUGGUACAAAGUUUGUUUUUGUCGUACUACAACGAUCUGAGGAGAUAAGGUGCAAUGAUGUAUAUCGUUUACCGUACCGUAAAGAUUAUUCUUGUUAGGCCAGUACGUUUACCUUCUUCUUCCAUGGUACAGAGAAAGAUAAAAGGACUUGACCUUGAUCGCCGGCGAAGGCGAGCGUCAGAGCGGUAGUGACGUUGCUGUUGUUGGAGCGGCUCCUGCGCGCGUCUUCGUAGUUAGGAGGCCCGCGUCGCCUCUGGUGUCGGUGCUUUGCGGCCCGGCUCCCGGGAGCCGGACCGAGAGGCGUCGCGUCGGCGUAGUGCGCCACCUCCACCGGGGCGCGGGCCGUCGGGCCGGAGGCGCGGCACGGGGGCGCGAGGAGGGCACCGACGCGACGCGAGCCGACGGAGGGCCGGUGGCGCGGCUCAGGGUGCGGGCCGGCACGCGGCGCGAUGCGACCGGCGGGACGCCGGGCCGGAGGCGGGCCGGUGCGCGGGAGAACGUGCGUCGGUUCUGGCGGGCUGACACCGGCGGCGGGAGGUUGGCGGCCGCAGCACAUCCUACACCCCCUAGCUCGCCCCACCACGCCCGAAGCCCAGAGGCUGGGAAUAGGCAUUGGCAGCGGAUGAGAGAGAGAGAAUACGCCACACCGCCGCCCACCCGACCGGUUUCCGGCACCUCCGGGUUCGGGUCCGCGGACCGCACUGGAGGCCGGCGGAAGAGACCCGACCUAAAGUAGCUAAAAAAGAGAGAAACAAAAUAGUUGUCUUGAUUAACGACAUAAAAGACAACUCAAAUUUUAAGGUCUUUAUACAGAUAUAACUAUGAACUGUACAAGUUACACAAAUGGUGUAUAGUCUAAGAGAUCUUGUACAAAAGGCGCUAACUCUAAUUUAAAAGA